rnacentral:rRNA from 1 species
AGAGUUUGAUCAUGGCUCAGAUUGAACGCUGGCGGCAUGCCUUACACAUGCAAGUCGAACGGCAGCACGGGGGGUAACCCCUGGUGGCGAGUGGCGAACGGGUGAGUAAUAUAUCGGAACAUGCCCUGUAGCGGGGGAUAACGCGUCGAAAGAUGUGCUAAUACCGCAUACGCUCUACGGAGGAAAGCGGGGGUCGCAAGACCUCGCACUAUAGGAGUGGCCGAUAUCGGAUUAGCUAGUUGGCGGGGUAAAAGCCCACCAGGGCAACGAUCCGUAGCUGGUCUGAGAGGAUGAUCAGCCACACUGGAACUGAGACACGGUCCAGACUCCUACGGGAGGCAGCAGUGGGGAAUUUUGGACAAUGGGCGCAAGCCUGAUCCAGCCAUGGCCGCGUGAGUGAAGAAGGCCUUCGGGUCGUAAAGCUCUUUCGGCAGGAACGAAAUGGUCCGUGCUAAUACCACGGAUCGAUGACGGUACCUGAAGAAGAAGCACCGGCUAACUACGUGCCAGCAGCCGCGGUAAUACGUAGGGUGCAGGCGUUAAUCGGAAUUACUGGGCGUAAAGCGUGCGCAGGCGGUUUCUUAAGUCAGAUGUGAAAGCCCCGGGCUUAACCUGGGAACUGCGUUUGAAACUGGGAGACUUGAGUGUGGCAGAGGGGGGUGGAAUUCCACGUGUAGCAGUGAAAUGCGUAGAUAUGUGGAGGAACACCAAUGGCGAAGGCAGCCCCCUGGGUUAACACUGACGCUCAUGCACGAAAGCGUGGGGAGCAAACAGGAUUAGAUACCCU